UUCCGGUCAGUUGCCUGGCGUAGUGC
rnacentral:sRNA from 1 species